rnacentral:rRNA from 1 species
GAUGAACGCUGGCGGCGUGCCUAAUACAUGCAAGUCGAGCGAACAGACGAGGAGCUUGCUCCUCUGACGUUAGCGGCGGACGGGUGAGUAACACGUGGAUAACCUACCUAUAAGACUGGGAUAACUUCGGGAAACCGGAGCUAAUACCGGAUAAUAUAUUGAACCGCAUGGUUCAAUAGUGAAAGACGGUUUUGCUGUCACUUAUAGAUGGAUCCGCGCCGCAUUAGCUAGUUGGUAAGGUAACGGCUUACCAAGGCAACGAUGCGUAGCCGACCUGAGAGGGUGAUCGGCCACACUGGAACUGAGACACGGUCCAGACUCCUACGGGAGGCAGCAGUAGGGAAUCUUCCGCAAUGGGCGAAAGCCUGACGGAGCAGCGCCGCGUGAGUGAUGAAGGUCUUCGGAUCGUAAAACUCUGUUAUUAGGGAAGAACAAAUGUGUAUGUAACUAUGCACGUCUUGACGGUACCUAAUCAGAAAGCCACGGCUAACUACGUG